CACCUUGGGGUUUGCAGUGGAGCACCUGAUGAGAGGACACUGAGCACUUACUCUCAGGUGCAGCACUGCAGUGGAGCUCAGAGGAGAUGACAUUUACUGAGAAGGAACCACACGCUAAGCAUCCUGUUUCAUUGUCCCAACAGCACACAGAGGUGGAUACUGCUGGUAACCAGUUCUUUUACAGAAGAGUAAACCAGAGUUCUGUGAGGUGAAGUCAACCGUCACAGUAUUUGAUAGACAAGCUAGAUUCUAAUCCUCAUCCUGACUCCAGAGUUCUGUUCUCCCUAGUACUGUCAGGUGCACAAUAAUGGAU
rnacentral:lncRNA from 1 species